rnacentral:ncRNA from 2 species
AGGAUGAAACAGGGGUGCCCUCCAAAGCUGAUUUAGCCAAGAGGCGCUGAGAAAGACCCUAGAACCCGAUCCAGGUAAUGCUGGCGUGGGGAGUUACAUCAGACCGACA